rnacentral:rRNA from 1 species
CCUACGGGGGGCAGCAGUGGGGAAUAUUGGACAAUGGGGGCAACCCUGAUCCAGCCAUGCCGCGUGUGUGAAGAAGGCCCUCGGGUUGUAAAGCACUUUCAGUGAGGAAGAACGCCUGGUGGUUAAUACCCAUCAGGAAAGACAUCACUCACAGCAGAAGCACCGGCUAACUCCGUGCCAGCAGCCGCGGUAAUACGGAGGGUGCGAGCGUUAAUCGGAAUUACUGGGCGUAAAGCGCGCGUAGGUGGCUUGAUAAGCCGGUUGUGAAAGCCCCGGGCUCAACCUGGGAACGGCAUCCGGAACUGUCAAGCUAGAGUGCAGGAGAGGAAGGUAGAAUUCCCGGUGUAGCGGUGAAAUGCGUAGAGAUCGGGAGGAAUACCAGUGGCGAAGGCGGCCUUCUGGACUGACACUGACACUGAGGUGCGAAAGCGUGGGUAGCAAACAGGAUUAGAUACCCUAGUAGUC